CAGCCGCCACGGUAAUACCGGCGGCCCGAGUGGCGGUCACUAUUAUUGGGCUUAAAGCGUCCGUAGCCGGGUUGGGAAGUCCUCCGGGAAAUCUGGCCGCUUAACGGUCAGAAUGCCGGAGGAUACUCCCAGCCUAGGGAGCGGGGGAGGCCGAGGGGAUUCCCGGGGUAGGGGGGAAAUCCUAUAAUCCCGGGAGGACCACCUGUGGCGAAGGCGCUCGGCUGGAACGCGUCCGACGGUGAGGGACGAAGGCCAGGGGAGCAAACCGGAUUAGAUACCCGGGUAGUCCUGGCUGUAAACGAUGCGGACUUUGUGUCGGACAAGCUAUGAGCUUGUCCGGUGCCGGAGGGAAACCGUUAAGUCCGCCGCCUGGGGAGUACGGCCGCAAGGCUGAAACUUAAAGGAAUUGGCGGG
rnacentral:rRNA from 1 species